UAGUAACGGCGAGUGAACAGGCAAGAGCUCAGAUUUGAAAGGCACUUUUGUGCCGUUGUAUUCUGAAGUUAGGGUCCUGAGAAACGAUGCUUAAGUCUUCUGGAAAGGAGCGCCAUGGAGGGUGAUAGCCCCGUCUAGCAUUGACCUCAUAUAGGAUCUUAACAUGGAGUCGAGUUGUUUGGGAAUGCAGCUCAAAUGGGUGGUAUGCUCCAUCUAAAGCUAAAUAUCUGCGAGAGACCGAUAGUAAACAAGUACUGUGAGGGAAAGAUGAAAAGAACUUUGAAAAGAGAGUGAAAAAGUACGUGAAAUUGUUGAAAUGGAAGGGUAGGCCGCUAACCAUGUAGAGCCGUGUUUGGGGGGAAGAUAAAUGCUGUAGAAUGUAGCUCCUCGGAGUAUUAUAGAUGCAGUUCAUAUUCCCACCCGAGCGCGAGGAUCUCAGGUUCUACUAAAUGGUGGUCUACCACCCGUCUUGAAACACGGACCA
rnacentral:rRNA from 1 species